rnacentral:rRNA from 1 species
GCGUGGAUGAAGAAGGUCUUCGGAUUGUAAAGUCCUUUCGACGGGGACGAUGAUGACGGUACCCGUAGAAGAAGCCCCGGCUAACUUCGUGCCAGCAGCCGCGGUAAUACGAAGGGGGCUAGCGUUACUCGGAAUUACUGGGCGUAAAGGGCGCGUAGGCGGCUUUUCAAGUUGGACGUGAAAUUCCUGGGCUCAACCUGGGGACUGCGUUCAAGACUGUGGAGCUAGAGGAUGGAAGAGGGUCGUGGAAUUCCCAGUGUAGAGGUGAAAUUCGU